GCAUUAAUGGGGUAGUGGUAACCUGUGUCGUUGCCAUGGGAAUCGUACCCAGUGUUUUCGACCCGCCGGGGGUUCGAUUCCCCCUUAAUGCA